UGGCUCUCGCAUCGAUGAAGAACGCAGCGAAAUGCGAUAAGUAAUGUGAAUUGCAGAAUUCAGUGAAUCAUCGAAUCUUUGAACGCAUCUUGCGCUCCUUGGCAUUCCAAGGAGCAUGCCUGUUUGAGUGUCAUGGUAUUCUCAAUUCUCUUGGUUUCUGCCGAGAUGAUAUUGGACUUGGAGGCUAUUGCUGGCAUCAUUUUGGAAGCCAGCUCCUCUUAAAUGAAUCAGUGUGAACAUUCACUUCAUACUUGGUGUGAUAAUUAUCUGCACUAUGUCUGAGUGAUAGAGUUUCAUGCUUCGAAUUGUCGCAAGACACUAUUUUGACUUCUGACCUCAAAUCAGGUAGGAUUACCCGCUGA
rnacentral:misc_RNA from 1 species